rnacentral:rRNA from 1 species
GACGAACGCUGGCGGCGUGCUUAAUACAUGCAAGUCAACGAUUUUUAAGAUAGCAAUAUUUUAAAAAUAGUGGCGCACGGUGAGUAACACGUAGAUAAUCUGCCUUUAGGUCUGACAUAACUCGUCGAAAGACGGGCUAAUAUCAGAUAAAACAAUAACUUGGCAUCAAAGUAAUUGUCAAAAGCUUCGGCGCCCAAAAGAUGAGUCUGCGGACCAUUAGGUAGUUGGUGGAUUAACAGCCCACCAAGCCAACGAUGGAUAGCUGGUCUGAGAGGAUGAUCAGCCACACUGGAACUGAGACACGGUCCAGACUCCUACGGGAGGCAGCAGUAAGGAAUAUUGCUCAAAUGGGGGAAAAUCCUGAAGCAGCAACGCCGCGUGAAGGAAGAAGGGUCUUCGACUUGU